CCACCAACCACCAAUGUGAACUUGUAGAGACAUUAUACAAAUAUUUUUCUUUCCAUUUUGUUCCAAAGAAUGAUCUCCAGUGUCUUCUCUUGCUGCAUUCCUCAGGCCAGGCUGCUUAUGGAUCCAAAGAGGAGUAUUUACUAUCUCUUCUGUUACGCUUGCUCAUCCUCCAUCCACCCCCUGGCCCUUCCCUCUUGGCUCCUCAUCCUUAUACCAGGUUCAGGGAGCGAGGCCUUCGUCUGCCAGAGCUCACUCACAGCUACAUUAGUAGCACAGCCAUUAGAUGCAGUGCUAAAGGCUCCAUGCAUAUUUCAUAACAGAAAUGCUAUCACUGAUACUUUCCCCUGUUGUGACUCCUCUCUUCAGUGCCUGGACCACCCACUUCUUGGAGAUGACCCCUCAGCCUCCUCCUGUGGCACUGUGACUCAGCACUCUCUGGAACAGCUGUCACAGCUGUUUAUCACCGAGUAA
rnacentral:lncRNA from 1 species